CUCUGCAACUUACGUAAAAGUGUCUCCAAUCCUUCCCUCUCAUCCUUCUCCUUUUUCAUCAAAUAGGCAUCCAAAAAAUCAUCAGGCUCAUCAUGUAAAAUG
rnacentral:snoRNA from 14 species